CCUACGGGAGGCAGCAGUAGGGAAUCUUCCACAAUGGGCGAAAGCCUGAUGGAGCAACGCCGCGUGGGUGAAGAAGGUCUUCGGAUCGUAAAACCCUGUUGUUAGAGAAGAAAGUGCGUGAGAGUAACUGUUCACGUUUCGACGGUAUCUAACCAGAAAGCCACGGCUAACUACGUGCCAGCAGCCGCGGUAAUACGUAGGUGGCAAGCGUUAUCCGGAUUUAUUGGGCGUAAAGGGAACGCAGGCGGUCUUUUAAGUCUGAGGUGAAAGCGUUCGGCUUAACCGGAGUAGUGCAUUGGAAACUGGGAGACUUGAGUGCAGAAGAGGAGAGUGGAACUCCAUGUGUAGCGGUGAAAUGCGUAGAUAUAUGGAAGAACACCAGUGGCGAACGCGGCUCUCUGGUCUGUAACUGACGCUGAGGUUCGAAAGCGUGGGUAGCAAACAGGAUUAGAUACCCCUGUAGUC
rnacentral:rRNA from 1 species